UACGGAGGGUGCGAGCGUUUGUCCGGAAUCACUGGGCGUAAAGGGCGCGUAGGUGGGCGCGAGGAGUCUGUGGUGAAAGCCCGAGGCUCAACUUCGGGUCGGCCGCGGAUACUCUCGUGCUGGAGGGUGGUAGAGGCCAAUGGAAUUCCGGGUGUAGCGGUGGAAUGCGUAGAGAUCCGGAAGAACACCGGUGGCGAAGGCGGUUGGCUGGGCCCACACCUGACACUGAGGCGCGACAGCGUGGGGGAGCAAACAGG
rnacentral:rRNA from 1 species